rnacentral:rRNA from 1 species
AUGCUGCUCUGCAUGCGGGCAAUAAGUUGGCGUCGGCGGGCCGGGGAGGCCGCACUGUGGCGAGCGGUGGUGUCGGGAGGCAUCUCCGACUGUCCGCGCAGCCAACUGACAGGGUCAACCCAAAGGCCCCUGGUUGGACAAAGAGGUUACGCCUCACCUGACCGGACGCCAUUUUUGCCGAUGCGAGUGCCCUGCAUUGAUAAGGCUCUUGCCGGCAGCUGA